AGCGAACGCUGGCGGCAGGCCUAACACAUGCAAGUCGAACGAACUCUUCGGAGUUAGUGGCGGACGGGUGAGUAACACGUGGGAACGUGCCUUUAGGUUCGGAAUAACUCAGGGAAACUUGUGCUAAUACCGAGUGUGCCCUUCGGGGGAAAGAUUUAUCGCCUUUAGAGCGGCCCGCGUCUGAUUAGCUAGUUGGUGAGGUAACGGCUCACCAAGGCGACGAUCAGUAGCUGGUCUGAGAGGAUGGCCAGCCACACUGGGACUGAGACACGGCCCAGACUCCUACGGGAGGCAGCAGUGGGGAAUCUUGCGCAAUGGGCGAAAGCCUGACGCAGCCAUGCCGCGUGAAUGAUGAAGGUCUUAGGAUUGUAAAAUUCUUUCACCGGGGACGAUAAUAACGGUACCCGGAGAAGAAGCCCCGGCUAACUUCGUGCCAGCAGCCGCAGUAA
rnacentral:rRNA from 1 species